rnacentral:rRNA from 2 species
AGCAGCCGCGGUAAUUCCAGCUCCAAUAGCGUAUAUUAAAGUUGUUGCAGUUAAAAAGCUCGUAGUUGAAUUUCGGGAUCAAUACGUCGGUCGUGCUUCGGUACGUACUGGCGUAAUUGAUUUCUCCCUUCUGACGAACCAUGAUGUCAUUAACUUGGUGUCAUGGGAAAUCAGGACUGUUACUUUGAAAAAUUAGAGUGUUUAAAGCAGGCUCACGCUUGAAUACAUUAGCAUGGAAUAAUGAAAUAGGACGUUCGAUCCUAUUUUGUUGGUUUUUAGGAUCAACGUAAUGAUUAAUAGGGAUAGUUGGGGGCAUUAGUAUUCAAUUGUCAGAGGUGAAAUUCUUGGAUUUAUUGAAGACUAACUACUGCGAAAGCAUUUGCCAAGGAUGUUUUCAUUAAUCAAGAACGAAAGUUAGGGGAUCGAAGACGAUCAGAUACCGUCGUAGUC